UUCCAGACUCCUACGGGAGGCAGCAGUGGGGAAUAUUGGGCAAUGGGCGCAAGCCUGACCCAGCAACGCCGCGUGAAGGAAGAAGGCUUUCGGGUUGUAAACUUCUUUUAAGAGGGAAGAGCAGAAGACGGUACCUCUUGAAUAAGCCACGGCUAACUACGUGCCAGCAGCCGCGGUAAUACGUAGGUGGCAAGCGUUGUCCGGAUUUACUGGGUGUAAAGGGCGUGUAGCCGGGCUGACAAGUCAGAUGUGAAAUUCCGGGGCUCAACCCCGGACCUGCAUUUGAAACUGUUGGUCUUGGGUAUCGGAGAGGCAGGCGGAAUUCCUAGUGUAGCGGUGAAGUGCGUAGAUAUUAGGAGGAACACCAGUGGCGGAGGCGGCUUGCUGGGCUUUUACUGACGCUGAGGCUCGAAAGUGUGGGGAGCAAACAGGAUUAGAUACCCCCGUA
rnacentral:rRNA from 1 species